rnacentral:rRNA from 1 species
UUCCGGUUGAUCCUGCCGGAGGUCACUGCUAUUGGGAUUCGACUAAGCCAUGCGAGUCGAGAGGGUUCGGCCCUCGGCUGACGGCUCAGUAACACGUGGAUAAUCUGCCCUUAGGUGGAGGAUAAUCUCGGGAAACUGAGGAUAAUACUCCAUAGAUCUAGGAUGCUGGAAUGCAUCUAGAUUGAAAGCUCCGGCGCCUAAGGAUGAGUCUGCGGACUAUCAGGUUGUAGUCAGGGUAAAGACCUGACUAGCCUACGACGGAUACGGGUUGUGAGAGCAAUAACCCGGAGACGAUAUCUGAGACACGAUAUCGGGCCCUACGGGGCGCAGCAGGCGCGAAAACUUCACACUGUGCGAAAGCGCGAUGAGGGAAUCCCAAGUGUUUGCUCGUAAGAGUAAACUGUUUCUUUGUUUAAAACGCAGAGAGAGUAAGGGCUGGGUAAGACGGGUGCCAGCCGCCGCGGUAAUACCUGCAGCUCAAGUGGUGAUCAUUAUUAUUGGGCCUAAAACGUCCGUAGCCGGUUUAGUAAAUGCCUGGGUAAAUCGUGUAGCUUAACUAUACGACUUCCGGGUAGACUGCUAAACUUGAGACCGGGAGAGGCUAGAGGUACUCCUGGGGUAGAGGUGAAAUUCUGUAAUCCUAGGGGGACCACCAGUGGCGAAGGCGUCUAGCUAGAACGGGUCUGACGGUGAGGGACGAAGCCCUGGGGCACAAACCGGAUUAGAUACCCGGGUAGUCCAGGGUGUAAACGCUGCUUGCUUGAUGUUAGUUGGGCUCCGAGCCCAACUAGUGUCGGAGAGAAGUUGUUAAGCAAGCUGCCUGGGAAGUACGGUCGCAAGGCUGAAACUUAAAGGAAUUGGCGGGGGAGCACAGCAACGGGUGGAGCGUGCGGUUUAAUUGGAUUCAACGCCGGG